rnacentral:lncRNA from 1 species
GGGGAGUUUGAAGUUUGGCGGAAUUGGUUCCUUUAUGAUCAUCUGAGAAAAGGGAGGGUCAGUGCAAAUAUCCUCACCAUAAGCAGGGGGAGCGUGGCGGAGUUCUUCGAUCCGUUGGUUCAUCUCCUGGAGUCUCCGAUCUAGGAAAUCCUCUCGACUUCGGGUCUCGAGGGUCCUCUGGCAGAAUGGAGGCAGGGAUCUUUCAGGGGUGGAGUCGUGAUCCGAUUGAGGGCUCUCCACCCUCGGGUUCAUCUUCCCAGGGAAGAUGGGGCGGCUGGCCCACGUGGCCCGCCCCACCGUC